GACGAACGCUGGCGGCAUGCCUAACACAUGCAAGUCGAACGGUAAGGCUUCCUUCGGGAAGUACACGAGUGGCGAACGGGUGAGUAACACGUGGAUAACCUACCCUUGACUGGGGGACAACCGAGGGAAACUUCGGCUAAUACCGCAUACUGUGCAUUGCCUCAAGGUGGUGUACCAAAGCUCCGGCGGUUAAGGAUGGGGCUGCGGCAGAUUAGCUUGUUGGUAGGGUAACGGCUGACCAAGGCGACGAUCUGUAGCUGGUCUGAGAGGACGAUCAGCCAGACUGGAACGGAGACACGGUCCAGACUCCUACGGGAGGCAGCAGUGGGGAAUCUUGCGCAAUGGGCGAAAGCCUGACGCAGCAAUGCCGCGUGAGGGAAGACGGCCUUAGGGUUGUAAACCUCUUUCAGCAGGGACGAACACAGACGGUACCUGCAGAAGAAGCCCCGGCUAACUACGUGCCAGCAGCCGCCGUAA
rnacentral:rRNA from 1 species